GACGAACGCUGGCGGCGUGCUUAACACAUGCAAGUCGAACGGAAAGGCCCUGCUUUUGUGGGGUGCUCGAGUGGCGAACGGGUGAGUAACACGUGAGUAACCUGCCCUUGACUUUGGGAUAACUUCAGGAAACUGGGGCUAAUACCGGAUAGGAGCUCCUGCUGCAUGGUGGGGGUUGGAAAGUUUCGGCGGUUGGGGAUGGACUCGCGGCUUAUCAGCUUGUUGGUGGGGUAGUGGCUUACCAAGGCUUUGACGGGUAGCCGGCCUGAGAGGGUGACCGGCCACAUUGGGACUGAGAUACGGCCCAGACUCCUACGGGAGGCAGCAGUGGGGAAUAUUGCACACUGGGCGGAAGCCUGAUGCAGCAACGCCGCGUGCGGGAUGACGGCCUUCGGGUUGUAAACCGCUUUCGCCUGUAACGAAGCGUGAGUGACGGUAAUGAGUAAAGAAGCACCGGCUAACUACGUG
rnacentral:rRNA from 1 species